rnacentral:misc_RNA from 1 species
CGCACAUAGCGCCCGCUGGCACUCCAGCGGGCAUGCCUGUCCGAGCGUCAUACGCACCCCUCUCAGGCUCCUCUGUGAGCCUGGCGUUGGAGCACAUCUAGGCCCUUUGGCGGGAUGGCUCUCAAAUCCAGUGAGCGGACCACCUGGCCGACCCGGGCGUAGUAGCACCUACGUCGCCCUGGGGAGGACGGGAGGUUCUGCCGUAAAACCUGCCACGGGCUCCCCGAGUCCCUCUGGCACCCAGCACUGGCCUCGGAUCAGGUAGGGAUACCCGCUGAACUUAA